CAGAGAAUAGUUUAAUUAAAAUAUUAAUUUUGGGGAUUAAUGAAAAAGGUCUUCUUUUUCUCUGA
rnacentral:tRNA from 1 species